rnacentral:rRNA from 1 species
GCAAACCUAUUAGCAUGUAGGUAGUGUAAUGGACUACCUAUGCAGUGAUGGGUGACGGGAAAUUGGGGUUUUAUUCCGGAGAGGGAGCCUGAGAGAUAGCUCCCAUGCCCAAGGGCAGCAGCAGGCGCGAAACUUGUCCACUCUUCUGCGAGGAGACAGUCAGGAAACGUGAAAUGAAAGGAGGGAGUGUAAACUACUACCUGUGAGGCUAUUGUUGGGCAAGCUUGGUGCCAGCAGCCGCGGUAAUUCCAACAACAAGAAUGUCUAUGAUUGAUGCUGCAGUUAAAAAGUCCGUAGUUGUAUAUGCAAUGAAAAAACACUGAUUAAGGGUGUUAGAUUUGUUCGCAUUGGCGGAAUGGACAGGGAGCACAGUAUAGAUGGGCGAAGGAUGAAAUCUCAAGACCCUAUCUGGACUGACAGAAGCGAAGGCGGUGCUCUUGUACAUCUCAGAGAAUCAAGGACGAAGGCUAUAGUAGUGAUGGCGAUUAGAGACCGCCGUAGCUUUAGCAGUAAAUUAUGCCGACAUUCUCUAUCGGAAGAUGGGGAAGGGAGAAAUCUUAGUGUACGGGCUCUGGGGAAAAUACGAUCGCAAGAUUGAAACUUAAAACGAAA